CAACCUAAACUUGUUAAAAUUGAGUCUAACGAUUAAAAACACUGAAUUCUUAAACUAUUGACUUCUGUUACUGUUCCUUCAUCUUCGGCUUUACAUAAAUAUUUUCUCGGAAUCUUACGUUGACGCUUAUCUUUAAAUUCUGAUGAGGUAUUUCGACAUUCUGCCAUAUUUUUCGCUUUAUCUAAUGAUUUAUUAAAUUUGGUUUUUUGAUUUCUUCAAUUGAUCGAAUCAGUCCAUUUAUGCUGCCUGCAACAUCUAUUGUUUAACUCUUUGAUUGCAAUAAAAUAUUUAUAAGAUAAAUUUGACUCAAAACGUCAUUCCAAAAGUUAAGC